AUUGAACGCUGGCGGCAGGCCUAACACAUGCAAGUCGAGCGGAUGAAGGGAGCUUGCUCCUGGAUUCAGCGGCGGACGGGUGAGUAAUGCCUAGGAAUCUGCCUUGUAGUGGGGGAUAACGUCCGGAAACGGGCGCUAAUACCGCAUACGUCCUGAGGGAGAAAGUGGGGGAUCUUCGGACCUCACGCUAUCAGAUGAGCCUAGGUCGGAUUAGCUAGUUGGUGGGGUAAAGGCCUACCAAGGCGACGAUCCGUAACUGGUCUGAGAGGAUGAUCAGUCACACUGGAACUGAGACACGGUCCAGACUCCUACGGGAGGCAGCAGUGGGGAAUAUUGGACAAUGGGCGAAAGCCUGAUCCAGCCAUGCCGCGUGUGUGAAGAAGGUCUUCGGAUUGUAAAGCACUUUAAGUUGGGAGGAAGGGCAGUAAGUUAAUACCUUGCUGUUUUGACGUUACCAACAGAAUAAGCCCCGGCUAACUUCGUG
rnacentral:rRNA from 1 species